rnacentral:misc_RNA from 1 species
GAUGAAGAACGUAGCGAAAUGCGAUAAGUAAUGUGAAUUGCAGAAUCCAGUGAAUCAUCGAAUCUUUGAACGCACAUUGCGCCCGCCAGCAUUCUGGCGGGCAUGCCUGUUCGAGCGUCAUUUCAACCCUCGACCUCCCUUUGGGGAAGUCGGCGUUGGGGACCGGCAGCACACCGCCGGCCCUGAAAUGGAGUGGCGGCCCGUCCGCGGCGACCUCUGCGUAGUAAUCCAACUCGCACCGGAACCCCGACGCGGCCACGCCGUAAAACACCCAACUUCUGAACGUUGACCUCGAAUCAGGUAGGACUACCCGCUGAACUUAAGCAUAUCAAUAAGGAGGA